GCCCCUUCCCAGCGCAGGGGCCGGCGGCCGCGGCCGGGCGGGCGCCGCGCGGGGGCAGGGCGGGCGUAUUCAAUGGAAGUAUGUUACCAGCUGCCGGUGCUGCCCCUGGACAGGCCGGUCCCCCAGCACGUCCUCAGCCGCCGAGGAGCCAUCAGCUUCAGCUCCAGCUCCGCGCUCUUCGGAUGCCCCAAUCCCCGGCAACUCUCACAGAGGCGUGGAGCUAUUUCCUAUGACAGUUCUGACCAGACUGCGUUGUACAUUCGUAUGCUAGGAGAUGUACGCGUAAGGAGUCGAGCAGGAUUUGAAUCAGAAAGAAGAGGUUCUCAUCCGUAUAUUGAUUUUCGUAUUUUUCAUGCUCAAUCUGAAAUUGAAGUUUCUGUGUCUGCAAGGAAUAUCAGAAGGUUACUAAGUUUCCAGCGUUAUCUUAGAUCUUCACGCUUUUUUCGUGGUACUACCGUUUCAAAUUCUCUAAACAUUUUAGAUGAUGAUUAUAAUGGACAAGCCAAGUGUAUGCUGGAAAAAGUUGGAAAUUGGAAUUUUGAUAUCUUUCUAUUUGAUAGACUAACAAAUGGAAAUAGUCUAGUAAGUUUAACCUUUCAUUUAUUUAGUCUUCAUGGAUUAAUUGAGUACUUCAAUUUAGAUAUGAUGAAACUUCGUAGAUUUUUAGUUAUGAUUCAAGAAGAUUACCACAGUCAGAACCCUUACCACAAUGCAGUCCAUGCUGCAGAUGUUACUCAGGCCAUGCACUGUUACUUAAAAGAACCUAAGCUUGCCAGUUCUGUAACUCCUUGGGAUGUCUUGCUGAGCUUAAUUGCGGCUGCCACUCAUGAUCUGGAUCAUCCAGGUGUUAAUCAACCUUUCCUUAUUAAAACUAACCAUUACUUGGCAACUUUAUACAAGAAUACCUCAGUACUGGAAAAUCACCACUGGAGAUCUGCAGUGGGAUUAUUGAGAGAAUCUGGUUUAUUCUCACAUAUGCCAUCAGAAAGCAGGCAACAAAUGGAGACUCAGAUAGGUGCUUUGAUACUAGCCACAGACAUCAGUCGCCAAAAUGAGUAUCUGUCAUUGUUUAGGUCCCAUUUGGACAGAGGUGACUUACGCCUAGAAGAUUCCAGGCAUAGGCAUUUGGUUUUACAGAUGGCUUUGAAAUGUGCUGAUAUUUGUAACCCAUGUCGGACCUGGGAAUUAAGCAAGCAGUGGAGUGAAAAAGUAACAGAGGAGUUCUUCCAUCAAGGAGAUAUAGAAAAGAAGUAUCAUUUGGGUGUGAGUCCUCUUUGUGAUCGUCAGACUGAAUCUAUUGCCAACAUCCAGAUUGGUUUCAUGACUUACCUAGUGGAGCCUUUAUUCACAGAAUGGGCCAGGUUUUCCAAUACCAGGCUCUCCCAGACAAUGCUCGGACAUAUGGGGCUGAACAAAGCCAGUUGGAAGGGGCUGCAGAGAGAACAGUCCACCAGUGAGGACACUGAUGCUGCGUUCGAGGAGUUGAACUCACAGUUAUUACCUCAGGAAAAUCGAUUAUCAUAGCCCCCAGAGUCAGUGGGACAGACUGUCUCCUGCAGGUGUUUAGAAAUGUGAAAUGGGGUCUCAAGGUGAGAGGACUUGCUCUUGACUGCCAAGGUUUCCGAAGGAACAAGGCCAGCGUUAUUUAUUCCCAAGGUGUCCUCUCUCGGAUCACGCAACCCCACUUUUUAAUUAUAAGACCUGAACAUAUAGCAAUAUGCAUUUGGCUUUCGUGAGAAACCUUGAAUAUGCAAAGCCCAGCAGGAGCGAACCGGAGAGGAGGAACAAAAGGAAGCUUUGAGGUGUGCCACCGAGUCUUUCCAAGCAUUUAUUCCUCGAACCACGAAACUUGAACUGGAUCUUUCAGCAGAAAUCUCUUGGAAUUUAACCAAUCUGAUGCAACAUUGUGUAUCUGUACCUUCCACUAAGUUCUCUCUGAGAAAAUGGAAAUGUGAAGUGCCCAGCCUCUGCUGCCUCCUGCAAGACUCGAUGUUUACAAAUCCACUCUGAAAUACUGGUUCUAAAUUGCCUUGGAGCAUGAUUGUGAAGGAACCACUAAGAAUUUUAAAGAUCAAACUUUUAACCUGCAGCUCUUUCCCUCUGGUUUGCCUUGUUUCUUCUUUGGAUGCCACCAAAGCCUCCCAUUUGCUGUAGUUUUAUUUUGCGCACUGGAAACUGAGCAUUUAUCAUAGAGUACCGCCAAGCUUUCACUCCAGUGCCGUUUGGCAAUGCAAUUUUUUUUUUUUUUAACUCUUAGUUUUUAAUUUGGGGCGGGCGGGGAAGAACACCAAUGUCCUAGCUGUAUUAUGAUUCUGCAGUGAAGACAUUGCAUGUUGUUUUCACUACUGUACACUUGACCUGCACAUGCAAGAAAAAGGUGGAAUGUUUAAAACACCAUAAUCAGCUCAGGGUAUUUGCCAAUCUGAAAUAAAGUGGGAUGGGGAAGUGUGUCCUUCAGAGCAAGGGUACUAAAGUCCCUUUCGCUGCAGUGAGUGAGAGGCAAAUCUUCUUGGGAAGUCAAAUUAUGAUCAGCCGGUUACUUGAUGAGCAUGGAUUCUGAGCAAGGGAAGCAAGUUGCCUCAUGCAUCCAUCUCCCUACGGGGAUGUGCCUGCUGAUAUUCAUGUUGGUGGACCAGGGUACACUCUUCCCCUGGAUGAUGCUAGAGAUUCUCUGCCAGUAGUUGCUUCUCCACAUCAGCUUCUGAUUGGCACAUCCAGUAGAUCUGUCAGUACCUUCAGCUUUGUCUCAGUUGAACCUGCCUGGGCUCCAUCUGCCGGAUGAUUGCUUACUUCUGCUCUGAUCCAUUAUGUGUUUCUUAUUGUUUGAUAGAGGAUUAGCUUAUUUCCAUUCUUGGCGGAGACACCUCAGUGUUGCUCCCAUUUCCUGCCUACACAUAUAAUAAACCCACUGGCAAGUUAUGUUUUGUUACAUAUAUAUGGAAGUCACAGUCUAUAUAGCCCUGUUUCUUAAAUAUAACUUAGGUUCCUUGAACAUUGAUUUUCUAGAAAAAUUUGAAGAAACAGUUCAAUAAUUUAGAAGAUUACACUUAAAAUGUUAUGGAACAAUUAAAAUUCACAUGAAUUUUUAAAACAGGAGACUUCAAAGAAUUGUUGAGCAUGUAGCAGCCUUUCAGGGCUCUAGGCCCAACACUUCAGUGGUCAGGGGGCAUCUCCUCUGCUCUGGAGGUAAAGGUCCGUGGAGAGAAAAUUUUGGCACAAGCCUUAGCUUAAUGAAAAAAAAAAAAAUCUGGUACGUGGCUAAUAUUUGUAUUCUGUAAAUGUGAUGGUUUAUAAGGAUCCUCUUUGUAUAAAAGAAGCAAAUAUUUUAUGUCCUUUACAAACCGGGGAAAUCUAUUUGUACCUGAGGUACAGGUUAGAGGUGCUAGUAAUUCUUUGAAGAUUCCUAAAAUGGUUUCUUUUCCCAAAAUGCUUUCUUGGCUCUUUAAGCUUUCAGUUUUCUUAAAACUCUGAAAUUUUUGCAUCACAGGUUUACAAUGUUUUCAUGUGUACUUUUUUUAAUGUAUAAAUAUUUUGUUUAAAUCCUCUCCCAAUCAGUAUCUCCUGCUUGAGAAAAUAUAUAAUGAUCGACAGCUAAUACGCAUUCAUUGAUGUUUUUAAAUAAAUGUGCAUAUUAAUCACCAUGGCAUCGGCGUACAUGUGAAACAUACUGUUGCAAGAUAUGUGCAAGACUUAGUCUGAGCCAUUCCUUGCUUGCUAAGGAUCUGCAGACAUCCUUUGUCUUUGGAAGGCCCCCCAAGGGUCCAUGGUCUGUCGGUGGAAUGCUCACUACCUGGAGGUGAGCUACCAGGGGGCUCACCGCAGGUCUCAUCCACCUUUUAGUCUCUUGUGCUUAGCACAGGGCUAGCGUAAAUUGGGCCAUCACUAAAUGUUUGUUGAACAAACUAAUUUGGUAUUAAUGUGUUUCCUCUUUAGCCAUCAGUCUAACAUUAAGCAAUUCUAUCAAAACUAGUGUGUGCUGAAUCAUGUGGUCAGCAACAUCUAGGUUCCUGUUGUGUGCAGAGAGCACUGCACUGGUUGUAAUAAAGGUAUUAAAAAUUACAAAACCCUGGUCUCUGUUCUCAAAAUGUUUGGGUGACAAAAUGAUGUGUGUUCUCGAAUAUGGCAGGUUUCUGUAUUCUACAAAAUGACUGCCGAGUAUUGGGGUGUGGUUUAGGAGAAUGGUUUCAUUUGAUUAGUGAUGAAAAUGAUACCAUUUCUAGUAAUUCUUGCAUUUUUUAACAUCCAUGACCAAUAAAAUCAUUUAGCUUUCAAGUUUGAUUCUAAAAAUAUAGUCUCCACAUCCUCCCCAACACUUAUUUUUCCUUUUUGAUAAUAGUCAAUCUGAUAGGUAUGAAGUGAUACUGUGGUUUCAAUUUAAUUUAUGAUGGUGAGCAUCAUUUCAUGUGCCUCGCCUCUUGGCCAUCUUUAUGUCAUCUGUGGAAAAAUAUCCAGGUCCUCUACCCAUUUUUUUAAUUGGGUUAUUUAUUUUUUUUAUACAAGUUGUAGAAGCUCUUUAUAUAUUUUGUAUAUUAAGCCCUUAUUUUCAGGUAUCUUCUACCACUAAGUGGGUUGCCUUUUCGUUUUGUUGAUGGGUUUCCUUUGUUGUACAAAACUUUGAUAUGAUCCAGCUUGUUAUUUUAGAUUUUGUUGCCCUUGCCUGAGGAGACUGGUCCAAAACCAUAUUUCUAAGACCAAUGUCAAAGGUAGCACUGUGUAUGGUUUCUUCUAGGAAGUUAUGGUUUUAGGUCUCAUAUUCAAAUCUUUAAUCUGUUUGAAUUUAUUUUUGUAUACAGUAUAAGAUAGUGGCCAGUUUUCCAAGGCCAUUUAUUGAGAUAUUGUACAUCCUUGGCUCCUUUGUCAUAGAUUGACUGUAUAUGCCUGGAUUUAUUUAUGGGCUUUUUAUUCUGUUCCAUUCAUCUAUAGGUCUAUUUUUAUGCCAAUAUCAUACUGUUUUAGUUACUAGAUUUUUAUAAUAGCCUUUGAAAUCACAGUGCCUCCAGCUUUCUUGUUCUCAUGAUUGCUUUGGCUAGGGGAACCCAGGUGGCUCAGUUGGUUAAGCGUCUACUCAGGUCAUGAUCUCAGAAUCCUAGGAUUGAGUCCCACAUCAGGCUCCCUGCUUAGUGGGAAGUCUGCUUCUCCCUCUGCCUCUGCCCCUCCCCCCUGCUUGAGUUUUCUCUCUCAAAAUCUUUAAAGAAAUAAAGAUUGCUUUGGCUAUUUGUGUGUGUGUGUGGGGGGGCAUCUUUUGUGAUUCCAUACAAAUUUUAGGAUUAUUUGUUCUAGUUCUGUGAAAAAUGCUGUUGGUACUUUGAUAUGGAUUGCACUGAAUCUGUAGAUUGAGUAGGAGCAUUUUAACAAUAUUCUUUGAAUCCAUGAACAUGGUAUGUGUCAUCUUCAAUUUCUUUCACCUGUGUCUUAUAGUUUUCAUAGUAUAGGUUUUCACUUCCUUAAAUUUAUUCCCAGGUAUUUUCUUCUUUUUGAUAUAGUUAUAGAUGGGAUUAUUUUCCUAAUAGCUCCUGUUAGUGUAUAGAACUACAACUGAUUUCUAUGUUAAUUUUAUAUACUAGCUUGUUUAAAAAAGAUUUAUAUUUUAGAGGGGGAAGGAGGGGCAGAGGGAGAGAACGAAUCUCAGACUCCCUGCUGAGCAUGUAGCUCAAUGCUGGAGCUCAAUGCGGGGCUCCAUCCCACAACCCUGAGAUCAUGAUCUGAGCCGAAAUGAAGAGUUGGAAUCUUAACUGGCUGAGUCCCCCAGGUAUCUCUGUAUACUGCUUCUUGACAACUCAUUGAUAUAGUUAUGAUAGUGUUUUGGUGGAGUCUAGGUUUUUUAGUAAGUGUGUCAACUGCAAAUACUGAGUUUUACUGCUUUUCCUAUUUGGGAUUUUCUUUUUCUUUCCUGAUUGCUGUAGCUAGACUUCCUAAUACUAUGUUAAAUAAAAGUGGUAAGAGUGGCCAUCCUUGUCUUAGGAAAAGCUUAGCUUUUCACCAUUGGGGAUUAGGUUACCUGUGGGUUUGUCAUACGUGGCCUUAAUUAUUUUCAGAUAUGUUCCUUCUAUACUCACUUUAUCAUAAAUGGAUAUCAAAUUUUGUCAAAUGGUUUUUUCCUGCAUCUGUUGAGAUAACCAUACAAUUUUUAUCCUCGUUUUGUUAAUGUGGUGUAUCACAAGGAUUUGCAGAUGUCCAACCAUCCGUGCAUCCUUGGAAUACAUCUCAUUGGAUUCUGGUGUAUGGCCCCUUUAACACACUAAAUUCUGUAUGUAAUACUUUGUUGAAUAUUUUUGCAUCAAUGUGCAUCAAGGAUAUUUGACCUGUGGUUUUCUUUUCUUAUGGUUUGUCUUUCAAUAUCAGGGUAAUGGUGGACUGUGUAGUCUUUAUUAUUUCCUUCCUUCUACUAACUUCAGAUAUAAAGUUAGGUUGUUUACUUGGGAUUUUUCUCAUUUCUUGAGGUAGGCUUGUUUUGCUAUGGACUUCCCUCUUAGAACUGCUUUUUGCUGCAUUCUAUGGCUUUUGGAAAGUUCAGUUUUUAUUGUCUCAAAGUGUUUCUCUUUGAUUUCUUCAUUGACUUACUGUUGAGUAACGUUUUUUUAGUCUCCAUGUGUCUAUCAGUUUUCUUGUAUUUGAUUUCUAGUUUCAUACUGUUGUGAGAAGAGACAACAUAUUGCAUUCUUGAAUUUAUUGAAACUUGUUUUGUAGCCUCCUGUGAUCUCUCCUGGAGAAUGUUCUGUGCACACUUGAAAAGAAUCUGUAUUCUAUAGUUUUGGGGACGGAAUAUUUUGUAUUUAUUAAGUCCAUCUGGCCUAAUGUGUCAUUUAAGGGCAAUGUUUCUUUAUUGAUUCUCUCUCUGAAUGAUCUAUCCAUUGAUGUAAGUGGGGUGCUAAUGGGCCCUAUUGAAGUUUUACUGUUAUUUUCCCUCAUGUCUGGAUCUAUUAAUAUUUUACUUUAUAUAUUUACAUGCUCCUAUGUUGGCUCGUAGAUAUUUACAAAUGUUAUGUCUUCUUCUUGGACCAACUCCUUUAUCAUUAUGUAAUGCCCUUGUCUUUGGUACAGUCUUUUGUUUUUUUUUUUUUUUGUUUGUUUGUUUUUAAGAUUUUAUUUGAGUGAGUGUGAGGGCAGGGAGGGAAAGAACAGAGGGAGAGGGACAAGCCGACUCCAAUGCAGUGUGUGGCCCAAUGCAGGAAGGGCCUGAUCUCAGGAUCCUGAGAUCAUGACCUGAGCCCAAAUCAAGAGUUGGACACUUACCACCCCUAUGUCUUUCAACUUAAGUAUUGAGUUCAUUUUUUUCCAAAUCAAAUGCAACAUUUAUUAAUAUAUUAGCUACAUUUUUUGCCAACAGUCAACGAGUCAAAUGAACAAACUGAUCACAAGUGAACCUCAUUUUAGUCAAAACUCUGAUGUACUCUUGGGAUGCCUGGGUGACUCAGUGGUUGAGCAUCUGCCUUUGGCUCAGAGUGUGAUCCUGGAGUCCCAGGAUGGAGUCCCAUAUUGGGCUCCCUGCAUGGAGCCUGCUUCUCCCUCUGCCUCUGUCUCUGCCCCUCUGUGUGUGUCUCUCAUGAACAAAUAAAAUCUUAAAAAAAAAUUUAAUGCACUCUCAAUGGGGGUUGACAUUGUUUUGGAAAAUACCAUGUUUGGAUGAUGGAGCAUCUCCAUGCUUUUCAUCUUUAAAACUACUUCCUAACAGGAUUUAAGAGAUUCUGGGAUGCAACUUCUAAUAACCAAAGAAAUUAAGCAUUCUCAAUAACUGUUUUAGGUUUUAAGUUCAUGUACGUUUGAAGUUAAUUGAGGAGUAUAUACCUACUGCCAUUUUAUUCAUUGUUUUUGGUUUUGUAGUUCUCUGGUUCCUUUCUUAUCUCUUUCCUUUUGGUUUGAUGAGUUUUUGUUGUCAUGUUUGAGUUUUUUUUUUUUUUUCUUAAUUUUAUUUGUGAGAAACACAGAGAAGCAGAGACAUAGGCAGAGGAAGGAGGCGGCUUCCUGUGGGAACCCCUGGAUCAUGACCUGAACUGAAGGCAGACACUCAACCACUGAGCCAUUCAGGUGCACCAUCUUUUUUGUAUCUAUUGUAGGUUUUGGUUUAUGGUUACCAUGAGACUCCUGUAUACAUACUGGUCUAUUUUAAACUGGUAAUUGCUUAGGUUCAAACACAUCCAAAGAGCACUAAUUUUUACUCCUUGCCCCCUCUACAUCUUGUUUUUGACAUCUGACAUUUUUUGUAUAUCCCUUAAAUUACUAUUCAUUGUAGUUACAAUUGAUUUUACUUGUUUUGUCUUUAACCUUCAUACUAACUUUUUAAGUGUCUGCUUUCCUCUCUUUAUAUUUACCAGGGACAUUUUUUCCCUUCAUAUAUUUUUUUUUAUUUCCAGUUGGGACUUUUCUGCUUAAAGAAGACCCUUUAACAUUUAAGGCUGGUACUGGUUUAGCUUAUACUUGUCUGGGAAACCCUUUUCCUUUAAUUCUGAGUGUUCCAACUAAGAAUAUUUUAUCCUGCAAGGGUAGGUUUUUCCCUUUCGGCAUUUUAAAUACAUCCAGCCACUCCCUUCUGGCCAACAAAAUUUCUGCUGUAAAAUCAACCAAAUACCUUCUGGAGGUUUCCCUUGUAUGUGGCUUUUUCUCGUGCUGCCUUUAAGAUUUUCUCUUUACUUUUUGCCGUUUUAAUUCUAAUACAUCUGGUGUGGCUCACAUUACAGACUGUUUCCUGGGUGUCUGUUUCCUUACCCAGAUUAGCAAAGUUUUUAGCUAUUAGUUCUUCAAAUAAAUUUGCUUCUCUCUUCUCCUUCUGAGACCCCUAUUAAUGUGCAUAUUAGCACACUUUUUGUUCUCCUAGUGGUCCUUACACUUAACACACACACACACACACACACACACACACACACACACACACGCCGUUUGGCUUGGAUUCUUCACUCUACCAGAUUGCUAAUCCUUUCUUUUGCAUCCUCUGUUAAUAUCCCCUAGUGUAUUUUUCAUUUGUUAUAUUCUUCAGCUCUGUUCUUUUUUAAAAAUAUUUUGUCUCUUCGUUGGAGUUCAUCCACUCUUCUCUCAAGUCUAAUGAAUUUGAUCAUCACUUGGAACUCUACAGGUAGACUACUUAUCUCCAUUUUGUUCUUUUUCUGAGGCUUUGUCCUCUUCUGUUUGGAACAUAUACUUCAUGUUAUUUGCCUUUCUGUGUUCAUUGCUAUAAAUUAGGCAGAACAGCUAUCUCUCACAGUCUUGAAGGAGUGGUCCUGUGUAGGAAUGCCUCGUGUAGACUGCAUGUUCCUGCCAGCUUUGAAUGGUGAGCUGGGAUGGGAGCAGGUGUCAGCCAGGGGUGUCCUAUGGGACACUGUGCUAGGACCAUGAGCUGGUGGAGGCUUGAGGCUCACUUGGGUAGCCUAGCAGGCUGGCUACAGUGCCUGGACCCUGCUCCUUGUACACUAUUAAGAUGGGGAACAUAAACAAUAGUAAUCAGCAAUGCUUUCCACCUGAGUCCCAGCAGUUUCCCUACCAUUCCACACUUGGGUUAGAAAAUGGGUCUCCUUCACUCAUAGGUUAAUUGCCCUUUAAACCACUAGUAUGGGGCAGCCCCGGUGGUGCAGCGGUAUAGCGCCGCCUGCAGCCUGGGGUGUGAUCCUGGAGAUCUGGGAUCGAGUCCCAUGUCAGGUUCCCUGCAUGGAGCCUGCUUCUCCCACUUCCUGUGUCCCAGCCAUUCUCUCUCUCUCUCUCUCAAUAAAUAAAAAUAAACCACCGGUAUGUUUUUUUUGCUGUGCCCAGGGUUGGCAAGUCUACACACAGGCUCCUCCAUGAUCUCCCUCCCUGUGUAGUUUGUUGUAUUGGGGGUGGGGUUCCUGUAACUACUGUGUUGGUCUCUCCCACUCUCAGUGAGCCUCAGUUCUUCAAGAACAAUUGCUUUAUAUGUAGAUUCGAAUUUAUCAACUCCCUACCCUACUAUCCUGGACUACCUACGAAAAGUUUAGACUUCUAUUUUUGGAGAAGUUGUCAGAAGGAUGGUUUUUCCAAAGUAUUUGUUUCUGGUAGUUGUUACCUCAUGUUGUCUUCUUUACCACUGAGACACAGACUCAGGAAUUUAAUAUGUCAAGAAAACAUUCUUAUACAGAAGGGCUUAUGAUGGGGGAGACAACCAGAACUAGACUGUUUUCCUGCUCCACCCCAGACCUGUGCCAGUAGGUAAAUAGGAGGACACCUGGCAGAAAUCAGCCUACUGGAAACUACAGUGACCUAAUGUAAAAUCAUAGAAGUAGUAAUUUAUUUAGCUCUCUACCACUCAGAAUGUAUUGAAACUCGUUAUUUUACUUAAUUUUUUGAGCUGAGCCAGGUUCCCCUUUUGAAAAUAGGACUUAUAUUACUCCUAAGUCCAGUGCUCUCUGAGCCCUACAAACAUACUAGUAAUUUAACUUUCUGAGCCUCAGCUAUAAAGUUUAAUUAUCUUCAUCAUCUUUCACUUCAGGUAUUGUGUUCAGUGGAAAAA